rnacentral:lncRNA from 1 species
UGAUGAGCUUGUCUUUUACACCAACCUGAAGACCUGCCGGCUUCCACUACACCAUACACUUCAAGAUUGGACGUGACAGAUUGCAGAACACUCGGCGGGGCCCUGUUCUCCUACCUCGUCGGGCUGCCGCGACUUCACACGCUUCGAAUGGAAAAUAUGGCUUUUGCGAGGCUGCAACCGGGUGUGAGCAGCAUCCUCGAAUUGUCAGGUGUGCGCUGCCUGACAUUCGAUUAUUCCGUUGUCGCUGGAGUUCCGUUUGAAAAGUUUCCAGAAAAGCUCGUCAAUCUCAGGGAGCUGGGAGUCAAAGAGUGUCAAGGUGACCCGAAGGCCGUAGAAGGGCUGGCCAAGCAGAUGCCCGGUCUUAAAAUCCACGGCGUCAUUCGACCUUUGUAACCGGCUUUCUACGUGUCUGAUAACGAGAGUGGUGCAGAACUUGAAGAGGAGGAGAAUGUGUUGCUUCGCAGUGCAGAGGAAGCAGUGGAUGACUGGAGAGUUGCAGUGAUAGUUAAAGAGUGAUAACGAUGUCUAGGAUUAAAGCAGUAUAUCUGUUCUCUCUCUAGAGAAUAUAUAAAACUGAUAUGAUAUUUAUAGGGAACUAAUUUUAAAUACUGAUUGCAUCUCAGCUGGAAUAUUGUAACUGGGCCAAAAUUUAAUACUUCUCAACUUUUGUUACUAGACUGUGUGUCGUAGUGGACUGCUGCAGGCUGUCAGGUCGAAAAUAUUUAUUUUGGGUGUAACGUCACAUUAACAUUGGUGGAAACUGUUUUGAAACAGGGUAAUUACAAGUAAUUGUGGAAGUGUGUAGAAAGAACAUAAAUUAUUUACAGUAAUAUUAGGAAAAGGAUAGUGUGCAACUCAGUGGGUCAUCUUUACACUGAUUAGCAGACAAGUACAACGAAUAGACUGUUAUACAUUCUAACUUCUGGCCGUGUUCGCUCGUGCGAACGUACGCGUAUUUUCUUUGCCGAAGGAGGCUCUGACAGAAAGCGGUAAUGUGUAACAGUCUUUUAGUUGUGCCUGACUGCCAAUCCUUUUCUUAAAAUUGUUGAUAUUCCAGCCUGAAGUUUCCAUUGUUUAACCAUCUGCAAUAGUGUUUGAAUUCUGGCUUUAACGAUCCGCAAUGACGCUCGGUUUCUCGUCGUAAUGACAGUGGAUUUGAAACAACUUUUUCUUUACGAGAUAAAGUGGCAAGACUGAUGAGGUAGCCAUUCUUAAAUAUCACUGGCUGGACUAGCAUGUAUUAUUGUGUACAGUAAUUAAUUUAAAAUAGUUACGAAAUAUUUGUUAUCUGUUUAUCCAAAAAAAUUUUUCUUGCUUAUUUAUUCACUUUUUAUUUGUAUUAUGUGCAAGUUUCAUCAAAAUAAAUGUUCUCUUUGUGGUAAUCUGAAGUUAGAAA